GGCUGCACGCAGCGCAACACGCCUCGUCCGCGCUGGACUCUCUCUGCACGCGCGUCAACGCGUGCGCGUCGUGCCAACUGCACACAGCGGGCGCGCAAGCAGAAGUUGCGAGGGUUCCCUGUUCAAAAUAAGCGCUGCCUGCCCUGUAUGCCCGCACCAGCCCCCGCCCAGCAAACCCCACCACACACCCACAGGCCACAGCAGCAACGGCUGGCUGGCCUCCCAUUUCUCAUUGGCAUUCGCGUCUUCUUUUGCGCUUGUCUCGAGAAAAUAAAAUAUAAAAGGAAAAGGGGGGAAAUAAAAAGAAGGAGAAACGAGGAAGAAAGAGAAAGGGGGAAAAAACAAGGAAAAGGAAUAAAGCAGACAGGCUCCGUCGAAGCAGAGAUCGCAGCAGCUGACACUAUUCCUUUGCCCCCCUAUUUAUUAUCCCUCCCCUCCCGACCUCCUUCCAAGCUCUCAUUAAAAUCAAGGAGAGGCCAGAGAGAUAGCAACCGGUAAGAGAGGGUGGCGUCGCCAGGGUUUCCUCCUCCUCCGCCGCUCGCUUAAUCCUUCUUUCCGAAUCGGAUGUCGUCGCCGCUCGCUGAUGCCGCUCCGCCGACUCCGGGGAGGAGGCGGCACGAGAGGAGAAAAAAGGUAUCAAAAUGAUGAUGAUCCCUACCGAAACCAUGUUCUCUUCAAGAGGAUGCUGGAUUAUCUAGUUCUUUGAUUAUAUUAGUCAAAUGCAUUAGAUAACCUCAUGCUUGGAGAGUUAGGGAAUGAAGCCAUUGGUCCGCCAGACAUCAUAUAUUUUGGGUCAUUAUAAUUGACAUCCUCAUAUUUCUCUUUCAGCUAAAUGACAUUCUCAUAUUCAGUCUGUCUCAUUUUUUUAAAAAAUUACUUGGUGUUUCUAAACGUACAAAUCUAUGUAAAGCUCUAGUAGGAUGAUGGCAAGUAGCAGCAAGUUACUUCAUUCAUGAGGAUUGAAGAAGUAGGUACAAUACUACAAUGGUACAAUUUUGCUCAGAAUUUAUCUCUAAAAGGAUGCAUGCUAUCUUAUCUAUGGUAAGUUAUUCUACUGGAAUUCACGUAAAGGAGAAAUAGAUUGGAUUUUUUUUACGGUUUUGAUUUUGCUUGAUAAUUAAUAGUAAUCAAUAAUCUUCUAGAUUUGAAAUAGUUUGUGAUAGUGAUUUAAAUCGUCAACUAAAUUUCCACAGCCUAGUAUCAUUUGUGACUUCAUGUUACUUUAGUCCCUUUCAUGUUACUUUACAAGGUGUUGUAGAAUUGUAUUGUAUUCCAUCCUCUUGGUUUUCAGUCUUGUUGAGUUAAAUGAUUUGAUAUUUCGGUGUCUGUGAAGCGUUGUUGCUCUUGUGCUUCUAACAUCUAUUAUUUUGAAAUGAUUGCGGAUUCUUCUCUUCCUUCUAAGGAUGAAAUUAUAUUAUAGUAAAUCAUUUACAUCUAUUCUGUUUGUAGUAAUUUAGUUUCUUUUUUCCCAAUCAAUACAAAAUCUUGAGCUUUCUUUUUUCAG